rnacentral:rRNA from 1 species
GGGUGCGAGCGUUAAUCGGAAUUACUGGGCGUAAAGCGUGCGCAGGCGGUUAUAUAAGACAGUUGCGAAAUCCCCGGGCUUAACCUGGGAAUGGCGCUUGUGACUGCACGACUGGAGUGCGGCAGAGGGGGAUGGAAUUCCGCGUGUAGCAGUGAAAUGCGUAGAUAUGCGGAGGAACACCGAUGGCGAAGGCAGUCCCCUGGGCCUGCACUGACGCUCAUGCACGAAAGCGUGGGGAGCAAACAGGAUUAGAUACCCUGGUAGUCAAGGGCG